rnacentral:pre_miRNA from 1 species
CAAUUAAAGGUCAGGAUGGCGGAGUGAAGGGCGGCACUGACGCGUCAUUCCCACCCUCCCCUCCUCCCCUGCCCUUUUCCCACA